rnacentral:rRNA from 1 species
AUGUGAUCGUCUCUCGCAUAUCAAUAAGCGGAGGAAAAGAAACUAACAAGGAUUCCCCUAGUAACGGCGAGUGAAGCGGGAAGAGCUCAAAUUUGAAAUCUUAAAGGGUUUCCCUUUACGAAUUGUAGUUUAAAGAAGUGUUUUCUGUUGAGGUUUUGGUAAAAGUUCUUUGGAAUAGGACAUCAUAGAGGGUGAGAAUCCCGUAUUCGACCUUUACUUUCAACUUUGUGAUACACUUUCAAAGAGUCGGAUUGUUUGGGAAUGCAGUCCAAAAUGGGUGGUAAAUUUCAUCUAAAGCUAAAUAUUGGCGAGAGACCGAUAGCGAACAAGUACCGUGAGGGAAAGAUGAAAAGAACUUUGAAAAGAGAGUUAAACAGUACGUGAAAUUGUCAAAAGGGAAGCGUUUGACACCAGUGUUGUUUUUCUGAAAAUCAAUUAAAGAACUGUUUAUGCUAAGCUGUUUAGACUUUAUCAGCUAAUCUGUUUAGUUUUGAGCUUUUCUUUAAUGCACUUUUCAGUUAACAAGUCAACAUCAAUUUCUUUUGCUGUAAAAAAGCUUGAGGAAGGUGGCUUGAGAUUCGUCUUAAGUGUUUAUAGCCUCUUGCCUAUGCAGUCGGAGAGAUUGAGGUCUGCAGCGUAGAUCCUUCGGGGCUAAAUGCAUUUGUGCUAAGUUAUAACAUUUUAUAGACAACUUGUUGACUAUGAUUUGUCUUGUAGCUUACUCGCUUAUGUUAUUUUACCUACGCUUAGGAUGUUGAAUCUGUGCGAGACUAC